rfam:Octadecabacter antarcticus 307, complete genome.
GGAGACGUGGCCGAGUGGUCGAAGGCGCUCCCCUGCUAAGGGAGUAAACGUUAACGCGUUUCGAGGGUUCGAAUCCCUUCGUCUCUG